GCACUUGAUGAAAGGCGGGAAAGCGCAAAGGGUAGUUACAGGUCUCGCUGCCUGUGCCCGCCGCAGGGACUAGAGGCCUCUUCCGUACAGGAGAAAGCGAGGACAUGGGAAAAGGCCUCCAGUUGUCUACAAUGGGGCCCGUCCAGAAGUGGAGGGGCUUGUUUUUAGGUAGAUUUUUCACGGCACUGGCGUGGGACCUGUUUGAACUGCAAGUCGCGGCGGGAGUUGGAAAUGAGCCUAUCUGUGGUGUGAGAUAAGUGAGCACAGAAGCAAGAUGAUUCCAGCUGGCAUGCGACAAGAAAGACUUAUUUGGAAGUAUGCACUUGAAAGAGCAAGGGAAAACAGAUGUUGGAACCUCCAGUUGUUGGGAACACAUCAAGUCUUGGGUACUUCAGGAAUAAAGAAGGAAAUUGGAUCCAAGUUAAAGAUUUUGUUGAAAGUAUCUCUAUUCAAAUAUGUAUUAAAACUUUUUAAUCUUCAAAGCAACUUGGAUCUGAUUCAUAAAAGUGAACUCUGUACCUUUUCAAAAAUCAAAAAUUCAGGAAUGACUUUCUGCAUAGAACAGAACUCUCCAUAAUAUAUGCAAAUGAGAUGUUUCCACUCCUUAAAGGUAUCAAAAUACUUUCUGUAUGAAAUUUUAAUUGGAAGGUGAAAGGAUCGAUGUCAUUUUCUGGUAAGAUAGAUAAGCCAAUGUUUAGAUUGUUUAUGAGUCUGAGCAAUUGGCCGCUGAGUUUCAAGGAUUUUAGAGUGUUCUCUACAUCCUAUAUGUGAUAAUGUUGAGAUUUAAAGGUACUUCUUUAUUUGGUAAGUUUGGAAAAUAAAAUCAAAUGUCUAAUGAUUUUAUUUUUUAAAUGAGUUGGGCAUAACUGGCAUUGGGGUGUGGAGAAAUUCUAAGUCCAGAUAACUGUUGAUGAAUAGUUCCUUGGGGUGGGGAUAAUAGUUUAUUUUUCUCAUGUUUUCUUUGCUUUAACACAUCUCAGCUUUUGGUUGUCAUUUUGAAUGGACAAAUGAAGAGUUUUAGCUGCCCCUUUAACCAAAAUAAUAGAAACAUCAAUUAGAAACAAUAGGAGGGAGUGUUAAAUGGACACCGUUGGACUGGAGGGAAAUCUAUUCUAUUGACAGUAUGAUAGGAGUUCUAGGAUUGGACACAUACAGCAGAUAGGCAAACUCAGCAAGAAAUUUGAGAUACCCUUUCCUUCUCCCUUUGCUAGGUCACAAUGUGUGCCUUUUGUUUGUGGACCCAGAAGCAGCCACAAUGAUAGAUGCUAUAAUACAGAUAAAGGACAUCAAAUAACUAUAUCCACUCUUAUCUAGGGAAGAAAAGUGUCCUUUCUAUAUUAUGUUCUAAAAGUUCUAUAGUUUUCUCUUAGAUUAGUUCUCCCUUGCAUUGUACUUUUCCUUUUGUAUGUGGUUUGUUGCACUGAUUUAACAUGAAGUUUUAACAAACAAAUAGUACAUUGUUUCUGGACCAAAUGCAAGGUUAUGUGGAAAGAUGGGCAGUGAGAGGAAAUAAAAACCUUUCAAAGGACAGGGAGAGGAAGAUAGACUGGAAUGAAAAUAUCCUAUAUGUUUCAUCUUACUGGAAUGGGAAAGUUAAAAAAAGAAGAAGAACGUUAUAUGAUAGAAGCAACACUCAAUAUCUUACUCAGAUAAACAGUAAAGAAAUAUCUGUCAGAAGAAUGAAAAAUAGCAAGCAGAAUGCAAAAAUAAAUACUGAAUAUAAAGCAAGAUGAAAACACAAAGCAAAAGAUACUAGACAUCAUGUUAUAUUUGAGUAGAUGGAUAUUUUCCAUUAGAAUACAGAAAAGUCCCCAAAAGAUAUUUUAUCAAAGUUGUUUAUUCAUUUCCAAAAUAAUAUGAUUUCUCCUGGAAUCCCAGUGAACAUUGGAUGACAUUGUUCCCCUGUAUCAGAAGGCAAUAUGUAAGUGUGGCAGAUGGCAGAGACCAUUUAUAAUGAUGAAGACCUUGAAGGAAGUAUGGAUCCAGAAGUAUAAGAAUCUAAAUCAUGUUUACACUUGGGAUUUUAGAUUCUCUGAACCCUAAAAUGGACUUAACACUGAUUUGAGACACAAACUUUGUUUAGAUGUCCCAUUACAAUAAGUGCUGCCAAUAAUGUCAUUAAUCCAAACAGUGGGUGUUUAGUAAAUCUUAAUUGGUGAGACUUAAUUCUAAGAAGACAUAGACUUAUAUUUAUGUUUUCUUUUGGAAAUUUCUAGUAACAAACCGAGGUGUAAAGUAGCUUAAGAAAUGAGGCAUAUUAUGUGUUAUUUCUCUUCUUAACCUAUAUCCUCACAUUUUUCAAACUAAAAGCCAGGAUAAAGAAUCAAGGCAAGUGCGGUAGGUGUCUGAGCCAUGAAGUAUAAAUAUUGAAAUGUAUCAUUCUAUUUAGCAGUUACAGGAAAUUGAAGUUAUAUAGAUUUCCACUUUAAGUCGCUCUCAUCUGACAUUACAGAAUGCACAUUUUCCUAUGCCAACUAGUCUCCCCUUCAUUUCUUCAGUUAGGAAAGCAUGUUCCGUCUGCCCCAAAUGGUUUUGAUUGCUAGUAUAUGUCCUGGCUUACUUUCAUAUCAUUCAUUUCCUUUCUGUAAAAUGAUUUUUUGUAUUUUUUUAAAAUCUUGUGACCACCAAGUUUGUAGAAAUGUUGUUUUUGGUCUAGCAGUUCUUCCAUAGCUGAACUGUCAAAUUGAGAAGAGUGAAUAGCUAGUUUGUAUUUAUUUUUUAAAUUAACAGUUAAUAAAAUUGACUUUUUAGGGGUUAGUCUUUUUUCU
rnacentral:lncRNA from 1 species